rnacentral:lncRNA from 1 species
ACUGCUCCCAGGCACAGAGCUAAAGGGGAAUUGGAGGCUGUGGCGUUCCUCUCUCCGUCCCCCUCUCUCUGGUGACUCGUGAUAAUGAACCGACCUUUUGGAGACAUUCUGUGCCCUCAAUAAAAACGGUCCCUGUCUGGAAACCCCCCGAGGAAACUGACUUCCUCCCCUGCUGCCUGGGCUGCCGUAGCUCUUCCGGCACCUGCUCUUCUGGCACCUGCCCUGUGCUGGCCCCUCCUGCAAGAAUCAGGAGCCCUCAUCUCAGUCCGCGCUGCAGAACCAGCCCAGGAGAGCAGCUGGCCUGUCGUCUGCUGAGGAGCAAAGGUGGCUGUGCCCAGGACUGCAAUGGCCUCCCACACCACCUCACAACCCUGGUCCAGGCUCGCUGACAGAUGAGGAAACUGAGGCAGGGACCCUGGUCUCACGGCCAUUGGUGCAGAGCUGGGAUCCAAGACCGGGUGGGCUCUUUGUCA